rnacentral:rRNA from 1 species
AGGACGAACGCUGGCGGCGUGCCUAACACAUGCAAGUCGAACGAAGAAUGUUUUUCGGAAUAUUCUUAGUGGCGGGAUGGGUGAGUAACGCGUGAACAAUCUGCCCCGUACAAAGGGAUAGCCUCGGGAAACCGGGAUUAAAACCAUAUAACACUUAACUGCCGCAUGGUAGUGAAGUCAAAUCGAUUAAGAGGUAUGGGAUGAGUUCGCGUCUGAUUAGCUAGUUGGUGAGGUAAGGGCUCACCAAGGCGACGAUCAGUAGCCGGCCUGAGAGGGUGAACGGCCACACUGGAACUGAGACACGGUCCAGACUCCUACGGGAGGCAGCAGUGGGGAAUAUUGCACAAUGGAGGGAACUCUGAUGCAGCGACGCCGCGUGAGUGAAGAAGGUCUUCGGAUCGUAAAACUCUGUCCUUGGUGAAGAAAAGGACGGUAGCCAAGGAGGAAGCCCCGGCUAACUACGUG